rnacentral:rRNA from 1 species
ACAUGCAAGUCGAGGGGCAGCAUGUCCAGCAAUGGAUGAUGGCGACCGGCGGAAGGGUGCGUAACGCGUGAGCAACAUGCCCUAUACAGGGAGAUACACCAGGGAAACUUGGUCUAAUAUCCCAUAGCAUUCAUUGAAGGCAUCUUUAAUGAAUUAAAGCUUCGGUGGUAUAGGAUUGGCUCGCGUGACAUUAGCCAGAUGGUGAGGUAACGGCUCACCAUAGCAAUGAUGUCUAGGGGUUUUGAGAGGAAGGCCCCCCACACUGGGACUGAGACACGGCCCAGACUCCUACGGGAGGCAGCAGUGAGGAAUAUUGGACAAUGGAUGGAAAUCUGAUCCAGCCAUGCCGCGUGCAGGAAGACGGCCUUAUGGGUUGUAAACUGCUUUUAUACGGGAGCAAUAAGGGUUACGAGUAAUCCGAUGAGAGUACUGUAUGAAUAAGGAUCGGCUAACUCCGUGCCAGCAGCCGCGGUAAUACGGAGGAUCCGAGCGUUAUCCGGAAUUAUUGGGUUUAAAGGGUGCGUAGGCGGCCAUUUAAGUCAGCGGUGAAAUUUUGCAGCUUAACUGUAACAGUGCCGUUGAUACUGUUUGGCUAGGAUUUGGUUGCAGUGUGCGGAAUGUGUGGUGUAGCGGUGAAAUGCUUAGAUAUCACACAGAACACCGAUUGCGAAGGCAGCACACUAAGUCAUUAUUGACGCUGAGGCACGAAAGUGUGGGGAUCAAACAGGAUUAGAUACCCUGGUAGUCCACACUGUAAACGAUGAUAACUCGCUGUCGGCGAUACACAGUCGGUGGCCAAGCGAAAGCAUUAAGUUAUCCAC